rnacentral:rRNA from 1 species
CGGUUGACCUCGGAUCAGGUAGGGAUACCCGCUGAACUUAAGCAUAUCAAUAGCGGGAGGA